CGGCGCGAGGCGGGCCGUUAGCGGCCGUUACCGCCCCGCCGAGGCGGCUCGGCGCCGCUCCCUCAGCGCCCGGCCGGCAUGUUCGUCCCGUGUGAGGGCGGCGGCCCCGACCUCCAGGGCUUCACGCUGCUCAUGCCAGCGGUGUCAGUGGGAAAUGUUGGUCAACUGGCAAUAGAUCUGGUGAUUUCCACGCUUCGCAUGACUAAAAUUGGUUACUUCUACACGGACUGCCUGGUGCCAAUGGUUGGGAAUAAUCCAUAUGCAACAUCAAAAGAAAAUUUGGUGGAGCUGAGUAUAAAUGCUGAAGUGUAUUCGUUACCUUCAAAGAAACUUGUAGUUCUGCAGAUCAGGUCACCUUUCAUAAAGAACAAAUACAGGCCGUUCUGCCAAGCACUGCUUUCUUGGGUGGAAAGCAGCAAAUGUGCCAGAGUCAUUCUUCUGUCUAGCAGCCACGCAUACCAGCGCGACGAUGAGCAACUUCUUGGAACACCACUGCGCUACCUGCUUACACCAGCUCUUGAGAAAGCAAUUGGAGGCCAUAUGCAGGAGCUAAAUUGGAAAGAAAUGGAAAAAAUAGCAGCUUUCCCUGGAAUAAAUGAUGCAGAAAAAGUUCUACGUAUUCCUGGAGGUGGCAUCACAAAAUUACUGUUUACUGAGAGUUGUUCAAAAGGAAUCCAAAUGGCAGUUCUUCUGAAAUUCUGCUCAGAAGGGGACAAUAUCCCUGAUGCAUUUGUUCUUGUUAACUAUCUUAAUGAAUGGCUCCAGCUAAUUAAAAGCAAAGGAAACCAUUCCACAGAUAUUUCUCCAGAACAGGAAAUGCCAGAUACUUCUUCACAAUGGAAAAUACCAAGUUCUUGGCGCUUACUUUUUGGCAACGGUCUUCCACCUGCACUCUUCUGAUCCAUUCUGAGUUCUUCUCUCUUUUUAAAUUCUCUAUGCUCUUGAAAGCUUUGAUGAACUCCAUGCUCAAAACGUCACCGAAUCCCAGCACUGCUGGCAACGCCUCAUUUUCCAAGUCUGAGGACAGCACUACCCCUGUACUGCAGGUCUUUCCCUCCGCUUUGCACAGACCCUCAGAACAACUGUGAGCUGAAUUACCGCAUCCUCCAGUUAGGAGUGUGCAGAAUUCUGUUUCACAAUGAAUUCAAGUCUCUUACUUAAUACACUUCAAGAAAAACAAAAAUGUACCAUCACAUUCAGUGGACCGUCCCUGCAUUAAGGAUAUAAUCAAACAGAAAACUUAAAUGACUAAUUCCAAACUUGCAAACUAUUUGCAACUGAGGUCCAGACAUUUGUUAGUGGUAUUUAUUAAAACAUGCACGAUUUGUUUAGAAGUGUUCAUCCGAGAGUCGAACACUUUCAUUAAAUUCUAAGAAGUUCACUAUGCAUCAAGUAUUUUGACUGAUGUAUUUCCAAAAUGGGGAAAAAACCCAACACAGUGACACUUUGAAUCAAAGUACAACAGCAUUUCGGAAGUGACACAGAAACAGCCAACAGCUUGCCAGAAACUGGAGGGGAGGAGGAGGUUGUCAGAAGGCGCUUCCUUCAUUUUCACUCUUUCUUUAAGCAUUUCCUAAAAUAAAAGUCACUGGGAUUGACAGGUCUUGCACUUUGGCCCACAUUUGUUCUUAUUUAAGAUCCAAGUGCUACACAACUGCUGUAAAGUUAAAUCCUACAGAAUAACAAAAUACCACAAGGGCUCAGUUUGCAGUACAGAAAGCGAGCCUCCUGCAAAUUCAGUUUUUAAAGAAUUUUCUCCCAGGUCAGAUACUGAGGGAGUAGAGAGAAGAAUUUUACCCAAAUUAUUGCCUGGAACGCUCUACGAGAUCUAAUGCUUCGUUGCCCCCCUACUCUCAUGGCACAAUUCACUGGUCAAAAUAGUUUUGUCCUGGACUUGUAUUGGUUUGUCAUUCUAAAAUUAAGAUCAAUUAAACUUUGAAGAUCCUUACAACCAUGUCACCAAACUGAAAUUUUACCUAUCAGCUGCUGAAUUCUACUUUAUUGCAUCAAGAAGCUGAAAGCCAGAUGAUCUAAGGCGGCUCCCUCGGGCCCUGCCCCACAUGCCCCCACCCAGAAAAGAAGAAUGCCUCCUCAGGAUCCAAAGAACAAAAAAGCCAAAUUGUAGAAGAUGGAAACAGAAAGUUUCGAGGGACAUCUUGACAAGACACGAGUGGCUCAGUAUCUGUAUGAUGUUGGUGGCCCAGGAAAAUUAUUCUCAUGCCAACAGAAAGUUGAUAAAUGACAAUGUUUUCACCAAAGUUUUUGCCUGCAUUUUUUCCGUAACUGCUUUUAAGCAUUUUGAAUAAAAUCUGGAGUAUUUCUUUGUUAUAAAAGCAUUUAGUUACAUUCCACCUGUUUUUUCCAUAACCAAAACAUCUUUUAUAAGGCACAUAAAUUUAUACUGUGUGUCAGUUACAGCUAAGACUUUAAAGAAAAAAAGACAGACGUCCCAAUUUAAAAAAUAAAAAUAAUAAAACAAAAGAAUCUUCCAGCA